AGCAGCCGCGGUAAUUCCAGCUCCAAUAGCGUAUAUUAAAGUUGUUGCAGUUAAAAAGCUCGUAGUUGAAUUUCGGGAUCAAUAUAUUGGUCAUGCUUAGGUAUGUACUGGUAUUAUUGAUUUCUCCCUUCUGAAGAACCAUAAUGUCAUUAAUUUGAUGUCAUGGGGAAUCAGAACUGUUACUUUAGAAAAAUUAGAGUGUUUAAAGCAGGCUUUCGCUUGAAUACAUUAGCAUGGAAUAAUGAAAUAGGACGUUUGAUUCUAUUUUGUUGGUUUCUAGGAUCGACGUAAUGAUUAAUAGGGAUAGUUGGGGGCAUUAGUAUUCAAUUGUCAGAGGUGAAAUUCUUGGAUUUAUUGAAGACUAACUACUGCGAAAGCAUUUGCCAAGGAUGUUUUCAUUAAUCAAGAACGAAAGUUAGGGGAUCGAAGACGAUCAGAUACCGUCGUAGUCUUAACCAUAAACUAUGCCGACUAGGGAUCGGAUGAUGUUAAUUUUUAAUGUACUC
rnacentral:rRNA from 1 species